GCACUUCUGAUGCGACCCAACCAGGUCGAAACAGUUGUCCAGUGC
rfam:Echinostoma caproni strain Egypt genome assembly, scaffold: ECPE_scaffold0000151